UAAUACGGAGGGGGUUAGCGUUGUUCGGAAUUACUGGGCGUAAAGCGUACGUAGGCGGAUUGGAAAGUAGGGGGUGAAAUCCCAGGGCUCAACCCUGGAACUGCCUCCUAAACUAUCAGUCUAGAGUUCGAGAGAGGUGAGUGGAAUUCCAAGUGUAGAGGUGAAAUUCGUAGAUAUUUGAAGGAACACCAGUGGCGAAGGCGGCUCACUAGCUCGAUACUGACGCUGAGGUACGAAAGUGUGGGGAGCAAACAGGAUUAGAUACCCUGGUAGUCCACACCGUAAACGAUGAAUGCCAGACGUCGGGGGGCUUGCCCUUCGGUGUCACACCUAACGGAUUAAGCAUUCCGCCUGGGGAGUACGGUCGCAAGAUUA
rnacentral:rRNA from 1 species